rnacentral:tRNA from 1 species
GCCUCGGUGGCUUAGGGGUAUAGCGCGUCCUUGGUAAUGUCUUGCGGGAAACCGCAUUACUCCAAAGAGGACGAGGUCGGGGGUUCAAAUCCCCCCCGAGGCU